rnacentral:rRNA from 1 species
UGCAAGUCCAACGAACCCGAGACUUCCGUCUCAUGGGAAAGUGGCGAACGGGUGAGUAACACGUGAGAAACCUACCCCGGAGAUGGGAAUAGCCCAGGGAAACCUGGAUUAAUACCCGAUACCCUGCCUGCACCUCAUGGUGUGUUCAGGAAACGCUCCGGUGCUCCGGGAGGGUCUCGCGGCCUAUCAGCUUGUUGGUGAGGUAACGGCUCACCAAGGCAUCGACGGGUAGCUGGUCUGAGAGGUCGAUCACCCACACUGGGACUGAGACACGGCCCACACUCCUACGGGAGGCAGCAGGAGGGAAUAUUGCGCAGUGGGCGAAAGCCUGACGCAGCGACCCCGCGUGGGGGAAGAAGGCCUUCGGGUCGUAAACCCCUUUCAGCAGGGACGAAAUUGACGGUACCUGCAAAAGAAGCGCCGGCCAACUACGUGCCAGCAGCCGCGGUAAUACGUAGGGCGCAAGCGUUGUCCGGAUUCAUUGGGCGUAAAGGGCUCGUAGGCGGUUUGGUAAGUCGGGUGUGAAAACUCAGGGCUCAACUCUGAGACGCCACUCGAUACUGCCAUGACUAGAGUCCGGUAGGGGAGUGUAGAAUUCCUGGUGUAGCGGUGAAAUGCGCAUAUAUCAGGAGGAAUACCGAUAGCGAAGGCAGCACUCUGGGCCGGUACUGACGCUGAGGAGCGAAAGCGUGGGGAGCAAACAGGAUUAGAUACCCUGGUAGUCCACGCCGUAAACGUUGGGCACUAGGUGUGGGUCCCAUCCAACGGGAUCCGUGCCGUAUCUAACGCAUUAAGUGCCCCGCCUGG